CCCGCGAGGAGAACUCAAUAAAAAGACGUUUCUUGCCGUUAUGUUGUCAUACAUGGUCUUACUGGAUCACAAUUAACACAGCCAGCAUAACUCAUUCAACUCAGGUAAAAUAUAAUUUCCUUUGUCUUGGCACUGAAGAUUCAGCAGCUUGGGAACGAUGCGCUGCUGAAAUGUGGGGCAGGAAACAGUCAUUCGUCUCAUUCGUUUCUUUUAGGAUUCUUAGGAGACAUCUGUGACAAAGUUGAUAUGAAACAUGACUGAGAACACCAUUAAGUCAAAUGAGCUAAGAAAGAGAUCGUGUAGCCUACACCAGGGAAGCAAGCAUUUGAAGACUGCCAUGUUUGCUCUGUUUCCCCUCUUAAGUGCAUCGAAGUCAGCGUCGUCUCUAGAGAAGGAGUCUCCUGGGGUGAUAGCAUUUGUCAUGACAGCGAGAACGAUCUCUGUUUUCCCCUCUUACGGAUACCUACACCUUUCCCAGGAGAAAAAUGGAAUUUAGAGCAGCAACAUGCCAUCACACAUUAUUAUACCUUGUCAGACGUGCUUCAUGAUAAAUGUUUCCAUCCUCACAAAAUAUUUCCCAAAUUCAAAUCUAUGAAAAAGCAACCUCAACCCCUCUUUUUCAACCAUCAUGCAUUCAUGCCGACAUGAUAUUAAGAUAGAACUGCCAGUGACAGUGCAGACCCCGUGCAGUGCAAUUAAUUGGCAAUCCAGUGCAUUAAUAGCAAUGAAAAUACCAUGCUGUUUCUAUCAUGUUCCAUCCCACAGACGUCCUUUUUUCCUGUGUGUCAGUUACUUAUCUGAACACUGAUAUAUCCCACACAGUAUGUUUUUUUUUUUUUUGGAUUUGCAUCAGAGGACGUAGUAGAGAGCUGAACUUAUUUUGAUUUACACUAUGGGGGCUGGUUUAUUUACAUACAUACAGUUCAUUUUACAACUACGUUCAGGUUAGAUGAUUUUUAAUGUUUCCAGAUGACGAGCUUCAUUAGCUCCCUGCUCUGGGCCAAGCAAAAUGCAUAUGAAACUGAGGAAAAAAUAUUGCAGUGCUUUUAAAAAGCACCUUGAGGGUUUAAUGUCUCAUAAGUGCAUGCAAAACAUGUGCUUUUCAUAACUCCCUCUGUUCUUUCACUGGUCCACAUUUUGAUCAAAUAUGUGCAUGAACUUAUAGUUAUUCAUUUAUGCACACGCAAAGAACGUGGUGACUUUAUUCUACGCUCAUCAAAACAGUUCUCAUAUUGUAGCUGGGGAAAUACAAGUGUCACAAAGACGUAUGAUCCUUUGUAAAAAUAAAACUCUGCAAAUGUGCUUGGCAUGCUGUGAAAACAAUAUGCAAUGUGCUGUUGGGUGGAUUUGUGUGGGGUGAGUGUACAUAUGUGUUCUGAAUGUAAUGGGCCAAUCAGUGCAGAAUAAGGAAUGAUAAAAGAAGUCGGAUGGAAAUCGGGUG
rnacentral:lncRNA from 1 species